rnacentral:misc_RNA from 1 species
GUGAAUCAUCGAAUCUUUGAACGCACAUUGCGCCUAUUGGUAUUCCAAUAGGCAUGCCUGUUCGAGCGUCAUUUAACUCUUCAAGCUUUGCUUGGUGUUGGGCAUUGUUCGCCUUGCGAACUUGCCUUGAAUAAAUUGGCAGCCAGCAAUUGGGUGUUGGAGCGCAGCACAUUUUGCGCUCCUGGCCACACUAGCAGGCGUCCAGAAAGCUUAUUUCCACGUUUGACCUCGGAUCAGGUAGGGAUACCCGCUGAACUUAAGCAUAUCAAUAAGCGGAGGA